rnacentral:rRNA from 1 species
GCUUGUCUCAAAGAUUAAGCCAUGCAUGUCUAAGUAUAAGCAUUAUACAGUGAAACUGCGAAUGGCUCAUUAUAUCAGUUAUAGUUUAUUUGAUAGUCCCUACUACUUGGAUAACCGUAGUAAUUCUAGAGCUAAUACAUGCACAAAAUCCCGACUUACGAAGGGAUGUAUUUAUUAGAUACAAACCAACAUCGUGGUGAUUCAUAAUAACUUUGCGAAUCGUAUGCCUCACGGCGACGAUGAAUCAUUCAAAUUUCUGCCCUAUCAGCUUUGGAUGGUAGGGUAUUGGCCUACCAUGGCUUUAACGGGUAACGGAGAAUUAGGGUUCGAUUCCGGAGAGGGAGCCUGAGAAACGGCUACCACAUCCAAGGAAGGCAGCAGG